AUGUCGGACGCGCUGAUCAACGGCCUCGCCGGCGCCGGCGGCGGGAUCGUCGCCCAGCUCCUCACCUACCCCCUCCAGACCGUGAACGCGCGGCAGCAGACGGAGCGGGACCCCUCCAAGCCGGCGUUCAAGGACGGCGCCGUCCGCCAGUUGUGCCUGGUGGUGCAGAACGAGGGGUGGGAGCGACUCUACGGCGGCCUGGCGCCCUCGCUCGUCGGCACCGCGGCCUCUCAGGGUGUCUACUACUUCUUCUACCAAAUAUUCCGGAGCAGGGCGGAGGCAGCAUCCCUUCGGCGAUCCAUUAGAGGAAUUGGGGAUGGAUCCGUCGGGAUGUUCCAAUCACUCACUGUCGCUGCACUUUCUGGAUGCGUUAAUGUACUUCUCACGAACCCAAUUUGGGUUGUUGUCACACGAAUGCAAACUCACAGAAAGGCAAACAAACAGCAAGGCCCUCAGGAUCAGGGUUUGACAUCUGCUCUUGAUAAGGCCCUACAACCUGCCCCAGUGGAAAACGUCCCUCAUAAAACUAUCAAUGUUAUUCAGGAUCUUUACAAGGAAGCUGGAGCGUUUGGCUUCUGGAAAGGGGUUAUUCCAGCUCUUAUUAUGGUCAGCAAUCCCGCAAUUCAGUUCAUGCUGUACGAGACUCUUCUUAAGAAGCUGAAGAAGAGACGUGCCUCUAAUUUUAAGGGGGCUCAAGGACUGACUGCUAUUGAAGUUUUUCUUCUCGGAGCUGUUGCAAAACUGGGUGCAACUCUUGUUACAUAUCCUCUUCUAGUUGUGAAGGCAAGACUUCAAGCGAAGCAGAUGAUUGAUGAUGACAAGAGGCAUCGCUACAAAGGCACAUUUGAUGCAAUCACAAAAAUGAUGCAUUAUGAAGGCCUAUCAGGGCUUUAUAAAGGAAUGGGCACAAAAAUUGUACAGAGUGUUUUUGCUUCUGCUCUCCUUUUUAUGAUCAAGGAGGAGCUGGUGAAAGGUGCUCGAUUCUUGGUAACCGGUGACACCAGCCUGGUUAAGAAGUUGCCUUCAAAGCCGUCAAGAUGA
rnacentral:rRNA from 1 species